CCUUUACAGCUGGACUCACUGAGACCAAAUAACUAGACCUUCUGGGUUUUGGGACAUGACAACAGUCCUCUUGAGUGGCUUGUUCAGCAUGUGUUUACAUUAUUUAAAAGAUUCCUAUCAGUGCACAGCAACUGUUGCCACCAGUUACUUUAUGCCAAAAAUACCACGUCAAAAUUGGAUUUGAUUUCUCCAAAAGACACACCUACCAAUGAUGUCACGGCUCAAACCAACAUCUUUGGGUUCCAGCUGUGAACCAAUAUGUCAGGUGUCCACACCCACGUUCUUCAUGAGCACCACGAUGUUGGCUGUGGCCCCCUCCUCCAGGGUCCCAAAGCUAACUGUGGAAGGGCGGAGCUGGAAGCCUCUUAACACAGAAGUUGGAUCAAGCAAGGAAAUCAUGCGGGAGCGUCGCCUCGUCGGCUCCUCUACUGUCAGAAACUAGGACAGGUUAUAUAAAAAGUUUGGAUUAACAGCAACCCACCAUCGAUGUAAAACCAAAGGUACAGCUCUGUGUAUUUGUUUACUUGGGUAUUUGGCUCACUGCGAGGUUUAGCACUGAGGACUGACACUGGGAGUCUGACUUUGCUCCGUCUGGGUUUUCCAAUAACGUCCACUUCAAGCGACUUUUGGGGCCUUGAUGAGAGAUUGUAUCCACCUGUAAGAGGCACGUGAACACGUCAAUCUGUUGGUGACCAGCAGACAGGAAAGGUACGCACACGAAGGAACCCAAGCUUCUUCAGCAAAACCUGAAUCAGCCUGGAUGAGUCCCAUCCCACACCAGGAUGGUCAUUUUCAGAUCAAUUGACAACAGAGUGCGAUCAACAAACCUGUGGCCUGGUAUUCACUGCUGGAGAUUCUUCUGUCGGUGGGACCACUAAAACGGCAAAACACAUAUUUAGCACAUCCUGGCCUGACACUGGUGAUGGGCUACUGAGCCCACUAGAUGGCACUCUGCUUUAAAAUCAUUGGAUUUUUUAACCUCUCUUCGCUACUAAACCAAGAACCACCUACUGAGCUCUGAAAAUGAUUCAUAUUUCAUGAAGCCUCAUCAGAGCAUCACUACUUGACACCGUAAAGCUAGCAAAAAAAAAAAGCUUGACACACAGAACAUAAGCGAGUGGAGUGAAUAAAGAGCACUUCUGGACAGCAUGGACAGCAAAUACCUGGUAGUUUGUAGCAAUAUCGGCUUCAGAGGUUGUGCAGCUGUAGGGAUGAACAGAUUACAGAUGAAGACAGAUUUUUCUUUGCUGGCAUUUUUUAAACAUACGCUUCUUCUCUGUGUCCUCUGUCUUAGUGGAAUGAGAGGUCUUUGUGGAGCGUCGCACCAACAGGUUCUGGUUGGACAAGCAGAAGAUCUCAUCAGUGAAGGUCUCAAGAUAUGAAGCACCUUGGGACGUGUGCAUGAUAAAAAACCAAAGGCCCGCUCACAGGAUGGCAGGACAAAGAAAGAAAAAGGUUGCACCUAUCUAAAACCAAUUAACAGCAUAUGAGAAAAAAAAACACAGUUUCACACAGCAAAAUUAAACAAAGACAGUUGUACCUUGUAAAGAGGAAAAUUCUCCGGAUGAAAAUAGGGAACAACGUGGCGGGCAUUCACAGCAUCUCUACAGUUUCUGCCAUCAUUCAACUCCCUCCUACAGAGACCAGAAAACAACUGUGGAAAAGUCUGUAAAACUGUGCGAAAGCAUCCUGCAUAACCAAUGUCUUGACCUGUAAUGAGCGAGCCUUCUAGCCCAUUUAGAGUCCUUGGCAGAUAUGAAACUGGACAAAGACGAUAGUGUGAGCACAGACUGCUGAAUUUUGUUUGCAAUGGAAGUCUUGACAACCUGACACCAGUUGCUGACUGAGAAGACUGGGAGUCAUCCAGCUGCUCCUCUGGAACAAUCACUGCCUCUCUGUACAGAUUCUGUAUUUCCACUGAAAAAAGGAACAAAAAGUCUCGCGACGAUCACAAAUCACAACUAGUCCCCAAAAAUUGAACACCAACAACACCAAUUGCUCACCUGAACUUCUCUUUUCGAAUGUGCCAUCCUCGUCCUCAUCUUCAUCGUCGUCCAGGAAAGGCUGGACACAGACAAUAUUUGCAUCAAGAAACACAGGAACACUCAAACUAGCUAAAUACACACGCCUGUGUGUGAAUAAUUUACAACACCAUUCCCACUGUGUCUACAGUUUACAGAGUCUAUGUGUGUGUGUGUUUGGAUCUGGAAGUGUGGACCAAGACAGACCGUGAUGAGACGCUGUAGGUCUCCAGCGAGAAUUGUUUCCUCCUUUGAUCGAGGAUCUAAGACUUUUGAUGCUACUGAUCUCAGCUCCCGGUCCAUCAAACUCUGGAUGUAGUCCUGAACAUACACACACACACAUACACACGCACACACAGGUCAGGUCAGGACUACACAUAUACAUGACAGAACAUUUACCUUUUGCUGGUGUCACACCAAAGGGUUACAUUCAAACUCUCAGUGAACAUAUUUACAUUGUUUAUGGACAUCCCCACUGGUAUGUGAGUCGGACCUCCUAUUUGAUGUUGCAUCAAUGUCCAUCGAGUCAGCCACAGCAGUUUUUUUUUUUGUGUGUACCUUAAGCCGUGUGUCGAUAAUAUCCCUGAAUGAGGCAGUAAACGGUAGGUACUGAAGCACCUCUCUGAUCUCUAAAAGCUUUGGGCAAGAUCGAGUUGGUAGAGACGUAGGUCGAGCAGGUCUUUCCUUUAUAUUCAGACUGCACCCCACGUCUGUCCCGAACACAGCACCUGGAGUUUUCAUCUAUUGACAGGUCAGAAAAUGGUUUCAGUUAGAGUGGAGAAUACAUAUCAAAAAAGAAGAUCAGACUACUUUCUUAAAAAGGAGAGACCAAGUCAGUACCUCAAUUCUGGGGAAAUCCUUCCAGUUGCGAUUCAACAAGUUCGGAGGAGUUAUUUCCUGAACUUGUUUCCGUAGCAACCAUUUUGACCACACACUCAGGUGGCUUGGCUUAAGAAUGGUGAUCGCUAGUUCAUCUGGAAGAUAUAUGAAAU